rnacentral:rRNA from 1 species
AUACGUAGGGUGCAAGCGUUAAUCGGAAUUACUGGGCGUAAAGCGUGCGCAGGCGGUUUUGUAAGACAGAGGUGAAAUCCCCGGGCUCAACCUGGGAACUGCCUUUGUUACUGCAAGGCUAGAGUACGGCAGAGGGGGAUGGAAUUUCGCGUGUAGCAGUGAAAUGCGUAGAUCUGCGGAGGAACACCGAAUGCGAAGGCAUUCCCCUGGUCCUGUACGGACGCUCAUGCACGAAAGCGUUGGGAACUAACGGGAUUAGAUACCCUGGUAGACCGCGCCCUAGAGGAUGUCAACUUGUUGUUGGGUCUUCAGUGUCUCAGUACCGAAGCUAACGUAUUAAGUAGAACGCCUGGGGAGUACGGACGCAAGGUUGAAACUCAAAGUAAUUGACGGGG